CGAGGAGUCGAGAAGAUGUUGGUCUCAUCGUGGGACAGACGGCGGGACAGAGGGACCUGGGAAGAGGAACAGUUUGUUCUGGCCCUGGAAGAACAGGUGGCAGGACCAGGUGCCACUGUCCUGGAGCCUCAGCCUGGACACGUGAUGUAAGUCCCCGAGUCGUCCAUCCUGAGAUCCUUGAUGACCAGGGGGAAAGAUCCUUGGUCCCACAUGUUUUUUUUGGAUUCAACGCGACUGCUCAGCGGGGAGUUCCCUGGGAACAGAAGCCACGUGGAGGAGAUGGAGGCACCCUGGCAGGGGUGGAACCCAUGGGUGCUCUGACCUGAGCUGAUGAUUUCGUGCAGAACUGGGGAACCCCCGACUGGCCAGGAGAUCCCACGACGUCCACUUACCCGGCUGGGACGGUAGGUCACUCAUCCGGAAUGGUAAAAUCAUGGCCUUAUUUGGAGAGCACCAGUUUCUACAAGCCCAUCCCUGACACCCAUAGUCUCCAGUGACCUUCACAACAGUCCCCGGAAAUAGACGCCUGUUCUGCUCAUUUUGCUGAUAACGCUUCUUACACAUUAUUGGUAAGAAUGAACACCAAUAUAAUUUGUUUGGAAGGUAAUUUGUAGUAUCUAUCAGAAUUACAAAUGUGCUUACAAAGCUAAAUGUCCACAAAGGAUAGGUCACAUCAAUUAUAGUUCACCCACUGCGCGAUUGCUAGGCAGGUCUGGAACAGUAUCUCAGAAACACCCUUCACUGAAUAAAGCAAGAUAUGAAACAGGCUACUCUUCAUUGUAAAAGGAGUAGGAAACUACCCCCAUAAGCACA